GAUGAACGCUAGCGACAGGCUUAACACAUGCAAGUCGAGGGGCAGCACGGUGUAGCAAUACAUUGGUGGCGACCGGCGCACGGGUGAGUAACGCGUAUGCAACCUACCUAUCAGAGGGGAAUAACCCGGCGAAAGUCGGACUAAUACCGCAUAAAACAGGGGUUCCACAUGGAAAUAUUUGUUAAAGAUUUAUCGCUGAUAGAUGGGCAUGCGUUCCAUUAGAUAGUUGGUGAGGUAACGGCUCACCAAGUCUACGAUGGAUAGGGGUUCUGAGAGGAAGGCCCCCCACACUGGUACUGAGACACGGACCAGACUCCUACGGGAGGCAGCAGUGAGGAAUAUUGGUCAAUGGGCGAGAGCCUGAACCAGCCAAGUCGCGUGAAGGAUGAAGGAUCUAUGGUUUGUAAACUUCUUUUAUAUGGGAAUAAAGUGAGGAACGUGUUCCUUUUUGUAUGUACCAUAUGAAUAAGCAUCGGCUAACUCCGUGCCAGCCGCCGCGGUAA
rnacentral:rRNA from 1 species